rnacentral:lncRNA from 1 species
GAGAAGACAUAGAAAAAACAAUAAAGUGGUGAUGUACAUGAUAAGUCAAAGUGUUGGAUGGUGUUACCAUUUUUGCAGCGCGUGGAUCUAUCCGUGAAAAUUUGUGGCGAUACUUCCAUACUAAAAAGCAUUUCUCAUAAACAAAUGAUAGCUCUUUCAUUCUAUAGUACAUGUAGCGGUUAUUGGGCUCUCAAAAAAAAUGUAGCGGUUAUUGGCCUAAUGAACAUUUAUUAUUUUUCUAAGUCAAUGUGAUUCUAAUCAAUUAAUUUUGAC